AGGACGAACGCUGGCGGCGUGCUUAACACAUGCAAGUCGAGCGGAAAGGCCCUUCGGGGUACUCGAGCGGCGAACGGGUGAGUAACACGUGAGCAACCUGCCCUUGGCUCUGGGAUAGCCUCCGGAAACGGGGAUUAAUACCGGACAUUCACUUUCUCCUGCAUGGGGGGUUGGUGGAAAGUUUUUCGGCCAGGGAGGGGCUCGCGGCCUAUCAGCUUGUUGGCGGGGUAACGGCCCACCAAGGCGACGACGGGUAGCCGGCCUGAGAGGGCGAUCGGCCACACUGGGACUGAGACACGGCCCAGACUCCUACGGGAGGCAGCAGUGGGGAAUAUUGCACAAUGGGCGCAAGCCUGAUGCAGCGACGCCGCGUGGGGGAUGAAGGCCUUCGGGUUGUAACCCUUUCACCAGGAGCGAAUUCAGACGGUACCGUGGGGAAGAAGCGCCGGCUAACUACGCGCCACGCAGCCGC
rnacentral:rRNA from 1 species